GCCACAUAGUUGGGUAGAGACGUGGAAAAGAACACGCUGCUCAGACAGGCUAACUACACACUCCAGAGGAAUCCUGACAUCUUAUUUGAAAGUGCUUUAGGUUGUGGGCUACACAUGUUGGAACUGAAAAUAUUUAUCAGAAACCUGCGAAAAUGCUUCCAACAGCCACUGACUCCUGGCACGUCAACCAUCUCACGGGAAAAAGAAACCAGCAAGUGUUUAAAGAGGGCUAUUGUUGAAGGAUUUAAAACAUCACAACACUAAGGUGUUGCUGCUACUGAAACCCAAGCCCCUGUAACCAGAGCGCCCGUUAAAUCACCACUAUGCCAGUAACCGUGCCAACCACACACCUGCUAAUGCAAGCAGGACCACUUGGGGCCAGCUGACGUCACUCGCAGG